GACGAACGCUGGCGGCGCGCUUAACACAUGCAAGUCGAGCGAGAACCAGCCCUUCGGGGCUGGGGACAGCGGCGAACGGGUGAGUAACACGUGGGUAAUCUGCCCUCGGCAUCGGGAUAGCCCGGGGAAACCCGGAUUAAUACCGGAUGGCCUCUCGAGCUCUCGAGCUCGUGAGAAAAGGUAGCUUCGGCCUCCGGCCGAGGAGGAGCCCGCGGCGGAUUAGCUUGUUGGCGGGGUAACGGCCCACCAAGGCGACGAUCCGUAGCUGGUCUGAGAGGAUGAUCAGCCACACUGGGACUGAGACACGGCCCAGACUCCUACGGGAGGCAGCAGUGGGGAAUCUUGCGCAAUGGGCGAAAGCCUGACGCAGCGACGCCGCGUGCGGGAAGAAGGCCUUCGGGUUGUAAACCGCUUUCAGGAGGGACGAAGCCACUCGGGUUAAUAGCCCAGAGGGUGACGGUACCUCCAGAAGAAGCCCCGGCUAACUACGUGCCAGCCGCCGCCGUAAAAC
rnacentral:rRNA from 1 species